AACGGACACAAAUUAACCCUUUUUUAAGCUCUUCUUUUCACUUCUUCCCUCUUUCUCCUCUUCUUAGUCGUCUCUUUCGUCGUCGUUUUUUUAUUCUUCAAUCGAUUAUCCAACUAUACCAUAUUCUAAUUCUACCAUGCAAUUGAAUCGAUUAUCAAAUUAGUUUCGAUUUGGGGAUCUCAGCUUCAACCCACGACAUCUCGGCUAUAUGGGAGAAUCUCGAUUUUGAAAUCCGAGACCUGUUUAUUAAAUCGAAUUGGAGGAGGAAGAAGGCGAGGUGAUCUAGUUGGCUCGGAGAAAAAAGAGUUCUCGGCACUUCCGAGUUCCGGCGUUCACAAAAAAGCUCCUCAAAGCCGGAGAUGGCUGGGAAACUCUUGAACAUGAUGGGAAUUCGAAUGAUUUUGCAGCUUAAGAUGGGGAAGAAGAUGACAACGCUUUGUGAUUUUGAGAACGUAUUUUUAUUUUUUAAUUAUUGUAUUUUUUGUAAUAUUGAUUUUUUAUCAUUUUUUCAUAUACUAGAUAAUAAUAAAUUUGAUAUUUUUAUUUAAUGUUAGAGGAUACGGCUGGGACAGAGUUCCCACGUCAAGUACGAUUGUAAUU